UCCGUAGGGUGAACCUGCGGAAGGAUCAUUACCGAGUGUAGGGUUCCUAGCGAGCCCAACCUCCCACCCGUGUUUACUGUACCUUAGUUGCUUCGGCGGGCCCGCCAUUCAUGGCCGCCGGGGGCUCUCAGCCCCGGGCCCGCGCCCGCCGGAGACACCACGAACUCUGUCUGAUCUAGUGAAGUCUGAGUUGAUUGUAUCGCAAUCAGUUAAAACUUUCAACAAUGGAUCUCUUGGUUCCGGCAUCGAUGAAGAACGCAGCGAAAUGCGAUAACUAGUGUGAAUUGCAGAAUUCCGUGAAUCAUCGAGUCUUUGAACGCACAUUGCGCCCCCUGGUAUUCCGGGGGGCAUGCCUGUCCGAGCGUCAUUGCUGCCCAUCAAGCACGGCUUGUGUGUUGGGUCGUCGUCCCCUCUCCGGGGGGGACGGGCCCCAAAGGCAGCGGCGGCACCGCGUCCGAUCCUCGAGCGUAUGGGGCUUUGUCACCCGCUCUGUAGGCCCGGCCGGCGCUUGCCGAACGCAAAUCAAUCU
rnacentral:rRNA from 1 species